rnacentral:rRNA from 1 species
AACGCGUAUGCAACCUACCUUAAUCAGGGGGAUAGCCCGAAGAAAUUCGGAUUAACACCGCAUAAAAUCACAGCACAGCAUUGUGCAAUGAUCAAAUAUUUAUAGGAUUAAGAUGGGCAUGCGUGACAUUAGUUAGUUGGCGGGGUAACGGCCCACCAAGACCACGAUGUCUAGGGGAUCUGAGAGGAUGGCCCCCCACACUGGUACUGAGACACGGACCAGACUCCUACGGGAGGCAGCAGUAAGGAAUAUUGGUCAAUGGAGGCAACUCUGAACCAGCCAUGCCGCGUGCAGGAAGACAGCCCUCUGGGUCGUAAACUGCUUUUAUUCGGGAAUAAACCUCAUUACGUGUAUUGAGCUGAAUGUACCGAAGGAAUAAGGAUCGGCUAACUCCGUGCCAGCAGCCGCGGUAAUACGGAGGAUCCAAGCGUUAUCCGGAUUUAUUGGGUUUAAAGGGUGCGUAGGCGGCUUUUUAAGUCAGGGGUGAAAGACGUUAGCUCAACUAACGCAGUGCCCUUGAUACUGAAGAGCUUGAAUGGACUAGAGGUAGGCGGAAUGUGACAAGUAGCGGUGAAAUGCAUAGAUAUGUCACAGAACACCGAUUGCGAAGGCAGCUUACUAUGGUUUAAUUGACGCUGAGGCACGAAAGCGUGGGGAUCAAACAGGAUUAGAUACCCUGGUAGUCCACGCCCUAAACGAUGAAUACUCGCUGUUAG